ACCGCGUGAUGCGCGGCCUGCUUCUCUUCUAAUCUCCGUUCUUAAGCCGAACGAACUUUUGGGGUGACUCCCGUGGUUCUUCAUUGAAGACCCUUCAUCUGCCUCGUUACCACUGUGACAAAGAAAGAAUGAGAACCCUCCUCCCAAGGGCUGAGACUGAGACGCCUACUACAGGCAGGAGGGGAAAUUGGUGGUCUGACCACUAAUGACAUGACCUGUUUCCCUUCAGUAAUUUUAAUGGACUCAUUCUUCAUUGGAUUCGUCUUGCUUUGGUGGUUUCUGUGGACUCACCUGUUCCUGCGUGGCGAUUACAAUGGACUUUCAUUGUUACACUUGUUCCCCCCUCUUUCCUCUGUGGACUAUAACUGGAUCCCUGAGUUAUAGUCCUGAGUUCGACCAGAACUUCGGAGACUCCCCCGACACGACAGACGGAUCCCCAUCGUCCGGACCACUGAGGAUCUCGCCUGUGUUGAAGAACUCCGAGGGACAUGAAGACCACCUAAUCCAUGAUCAAACUGGCUUGGACAACCUGGCUGCGACAGUGGAACCCUCCUAAAAAGCGGGUGCCAAGAGACAUAACUGGUGUUGUGGGAACAGAAUUGGGAAUCAGUUCAGAGGUAUUAAUGAAUAAAUUGGCUUCUACGACUAGAGAUUUGACCAAAAUACAGCAACCACUGCAGUCGUCCUUAUCGGCCUUGGGAACACAUCAGUGCUUGCUAUCAAACAUUCUACCAAAUUGGGAAAAGAUAAAUGUGAAGGAUAAAAAAUUGAUCAUUGAUGCACUUAAUGCCACGCAAAGCAAUGUUUCCUUAGCUCUUAGCUGUAUCCAGGCUCAAUUAUGGAUGCAGUCAGUUGCUGCCUCAAUUAUAAGAGAAGGUGAA